rnacentral:lncRNA from 1 species
GUAAAAUGCCUCCACUCUCCAGGAACGCUCUCAUUAUAUAACUUUGCCUGAAACCAACAGCACGCUCAUUGCACAUAUCAUGGGCUCAUUUAUUUCACUUAUAAAGAACCUGGCCAAGGAAGAGAUAGUGCCUAAAGUGGCCAGUAUUCUGACCGAUAUGUUAGAAAAAUGGUGUGCCGACCAAUUCAUGACAUGUGUCCCAAAACUAGCAACGGAAAUUGUAUUCGCCGUGUUGAGGUCUCUAAUCCAGAUGAUGCUCAUCUAUGUACUGGAAAAGGCAGAGUCCUUUCCUGACAAGCUGCUGAAACUCUUCAGAAACAUCUCAUAUUUCCUGAAGAAGAUGAUGUCUGGACAAGCAGCACAGGAGGAAGAGGGUAAUCCGGAUGAGUUUUCUGACCUACUCGGCGGCUGUGAUUAAACAACCACCAGGAAAUUUUGACGACACUGUUCUCCUGAGCUCCUCCCUUUCCUCCGGGAACAAAACAAUUGAAUUUACAAAAAUAAAGUGUUAUUUGACUGGAGUGAGGUCUCAUGUCUGCUUAUGCGGUGGCUCGCUGCUCAGAACAGGAUGGCAGAGAUGAGCACCACCAUCAAAAACUCAAGGACCAGUGCUGUGGGUCCAGUCAUCUGUUUCAUGGAAUUCACCAGUCUGGUAUCUUCAAAAUCCAGAAGGAUGAUGGCAGAUGGCAGGAAGGAACCAUUGGAGAUACUCAUUACUCUUUGAAGGCUUACAGUGGAAUGAAUUCAAAUACGACUUAUUUGAGGAAUUGAAGUUGACUUUAUGGAGCUGAUAAGAAUCUUCUUGGAGAAAAAAAGACUGGUACUUCUGAAUUAACCAAAAUCACAGUAUUCUGAAGAUGAUUCUACAAAGCCUGCUGUUUCUACAAAGGCUGCUGAUGAUUUCUACAAAGCCUGCUGUAGUGUUGCUGUGGCCUCUGCUUAAAAAAGUAGAAAACACAUUGAUGCAGCAUGUUCACCCCAACCUCCCUGCCUAAAGGCUCAGGGACCAUCUUGGAAGAGGAAGGCGCGUGAGAUUGUAAGAGCCGAAUUAGGGGGAUGGAGUGUGGAGAAUAAGGACACUUCAUCUUGGAUGCUCACCUGCCAAAUUGACUUCUGAUGAAAGCCAGCUCCAGAAAUGUGCCUACAGUUACUACUUUCACCUAAACCCUGCCCUUAGUCAAAUCCUUCUCUUCUUCUAAGCAAUCAACUUCAAUUCCUUGUAUAACCCACAGUAUAAAAGGGCUUUUAUACCAUUCUAUCCUAUUGCAUGUAAGCCUUGGGUCUGGGAGGUAACAGUGUGGGAUUCCACCAUCUCAUCUCCCUGCCACCCAAACAUGCCUGCUCUUCUUUAAGCAAUAUUAAAUGUUUGUACUUCAGAAA